rnacentral:rRNA from 1 species
UUCGCCCUACGGGAGGCAGCAGUGGGGAAUAUUGCACAAUGGGCGAAAGCCUGAUGCAGCAACGCCGCGUGAGCGAUGAAGGCCUUCGGGUCGUAAAGCUCUGUCCUCAAGGAAGAUAAUGACGGUACUUGAGGAGGAAGCCCCGGCUAACUACGUGCCAGCAGCCGCGGUAAUACGUAGGGGGCUAGCGUUAUCCGGAAUUACUGGGCGUAAAGGGUGCGUAGGCGGUUUCUUAAGUCAGAGGUGAAAGGCAACGGCUCAACCGUAGUAAGCCUUUGAAACUGUGAGAUUUGAGUGCAGGAGCG